AUUGAACGCUGGCGGCAGGCCUAACACAUGCAAGUCGAACGAGUGGCGGCCGGGUGAGUAAUGUCUGGGAAACUGCCUGAUGGAGGGGGAUAACUGCUGGAAACGGUAGCUAAUACCGCAUACCCUCAGAUGUGCCCAGAUGGGAUUAGCUUGUUGGGGGGGGAACGGCUCACCAAGGCGACGAUCCCUAGCUGUUCUGAGAGGGUGACCAGCCACACGGGAACUGCGAAACGGGCCCGACUCCUACGGGGGGCAGCAGUGGGGAAGAGUGAACAAGGGGCGAAAGCCGGAUGCAGCCAGGCCGCGGGUAUGAAGAAGGGCUUCGGGUUGUAAAGUACUUUCAGCGGGGAGGCGUUACCCGCAGAAGAAGCACCGGCUAACUCCGUGCCAGCCGCCGCGGUAAUAAUUC
rnacentral:rRNA from 1 species